UAUCUUUUCUUUUGGUCGGAGUCGGUUUGGCUUGCACCCGAACAGUUGAAGUAAUAAAUUAAUCUGACUUAGUUUUGCAUAAUAAACAUGAAAAUUAUACGGAAGCGCUGCUUUAAAGUAAAUUAAAUCAAUAUUUCUUUUAAUUAGGUCCGCUUUGGUUUACACCUAACCAACCAAAAUAAUAAAUUAAUUCAACUUAGCGCCAAACAUUAAAUAAUCAAAAAAUAAUUAUGAUUAUUUAAUUUUCAUGUUUAUCCGGUCAAAAUAA
rnacentral:lncRNA from 1 species